rnacentral:siRNA from 1 species
CGGCCACCAAAUUCUCCUUACCCU